rnacentral:rRNA from 1 species
GACGAACGCUGGCGGCGUGCCUAAUACAUGCAAGUCGAACGGUUUAGUUCCAAGAGGCUUGCCUUUUGGAACUAGACAGUGGCGGACGGGUGAGUAACACGUAGGCAACCUACCUGUCAAACCGGGAUAACCUCGGGAAACCGAAGCUAAACCCGGAUAAGCUCCUUUUUCGCAUGAAGGGGGAGUGAAAAGGUGCGACCUGAUGACAGAUGGGCCUGCGGCGCAUUAGCUAGUAGGUAGGGUAACGGCCUACCUAGGCGAUGAUGCGUAGCCGACCUGAGAGGGCGUACGGCCAGACUGGGACUGAGAUACGGCCCAGACUCCUACGGGAGGCAGCAGUAGGGAAUCUUCGGCAAUGGGCGAAAGCCUGACCGAGCAACGCCGGGCGAGUGAGGAAGGCCUUCGGGUUGUAAAACUCUGUUGUUUGGGAAGAAGGGAAAGGGUAGGACCCUUAGGUGACGGUACCAAACGAGAAAGCCCCGGCUAACUACGUG